rnacentral:rRNA from 1 species
UACGUAGGGUGCAAGCGUUGUCCGGAAUUAUUGGGCGUAAAGAGCUCGUAGGCGGUCUGUCGCGUCUGCUGUGAAAACUCAGGGCUUAACCCUGAGCUUGCAGUGGGUACGGGCAGACUAGAGUGCGGUAGGGGGGACUGGAAUUCCUGGUGUAGCGGUGAAAUGCGCAGAUAUCAGGAGGAACACCGAUGGCGAAGGCAGGUCUCUGGGCCACUACUGACGCUGAGAAGCGAAAGCAUGGGGAGCGAACAGG